rnacentral:rRNA from 1 species
GAUGAACGCUGGCGGCGUGCCUAAUACAUGCAAGUCGAGCGAACGGACGAGAAGCUUGCUUCUCUGAUGUUAGCGGCGGACGGGUGAGUCACACGUGGAUAACCUACCUAUCAGACUGGGAUAACUUCGGGAAACCGGAGCUAAUACCGGAUGAUAUUUUGAACCGCAUGGUUCAAAAGUGAAAGACGGUCUUGCUGUCACUUAUAGAUGGAUCCGCGCUGCAUUAGCUAGUUGGUAAGGUAACGGCUUACCAAGGCAACGAUGCAUAGCCGACCUGAGAGGGUGAUCGGCCACACUGGAGCUGAGACACGGUCCAGACGCCUACGGGAGGCAGCAGUAGGGAAUCUUCCGCAAUGGGCGAAAGCCUGACGGAGCAACGCCGCGUGAGUGAUGAAGGUCUUCGGAUCGUAAAACUCUGUUAUUAGGGAAGAACAUAUGUGUAAGUAACUGUGCACAGCGUGACGGUACCUAGUCAGAAAGCCACGGCUAACUACGUG